rnacentral:rRNA from 1 species
GAUGAACGCUGGCGGCGUGCCUAAUACAUGCAAGUCGAGCGAACGGACGAGAAGCUUGCUUCUCUGAUGUUAGCGGCGGACGGGUGAGUAACACGUGGAUAACCCACCUAUAAGACUGGGAUAACUUCGGGAAACCGUAGCUAAUACCGGAUAAUAUUCUGAACCGCAUGGUUCAAAAGUGAAAGACGGUCUUGCUGUCACUUAUAGAUGGAUCCGCGCUGCAUUAGCUAGUUGGUAAGGUAACGGCUUACCAAGGCAACGAUGCAUAGCCGACCUGAGAGGGUGAUCGGCCACACUGGAACUGAGACACGGUCCAGACUCCUACGGGAGGCAGCAGUAGGGAAUCUUCCGCAAUGGGCGAAAGCCUGACGGAGCAACGCCGCGUGAGUGAUGAAGGUCUUCGGAUCGUAAAACUCUGUUAUUGGGGAAGAACAUAUGUGUAAGUAAAUGUGCACAUCUUGACGGUACCUAAUCAGAAAGCCACGGCUAACUACGUG